rnacentral:rRNA from 1 species
CGAAUGCUGACAUAAGUAACGAUAAAGCGGGUGAAAAGCCCGCUCGCCGGAAGACCAAGGGUUCCUGUCCAACGUUAAUCGGGGCAGGGUGAGUCGACCCCUAAGGCGAGGCCGAAAGGCGUAGUCGAUGGGAAACAGGUUAAUAUUCCUGUACUUGGUGUUACUGCGAAGGGGGGACGGAGAAGGCUAUGUUGGCCGGGCGACGGUUGUCCCGGUUUAAGCGUGUAGGCUGGUUUUCCAGGCAAAUCCGGAAAAUCAAGGCUGAGGCGUGAUGACGAGGCACUACGGUGCUGAAGCAACAAAUGCCCUGCUUCCAGGAAAAGCCUCUAAGCAUCAGGUAACAUCAAAUCGUACCCCAAACCGACACAGGUGGUCAGG